AGGAUGAACGCUGGCGGCGUGCCUAACACAUGCAAGUCGAACGUCCUGUCUCGCAAGAGGCAGGGAGUGGCGGACGGGUGAGUACCACGUGGGUCAUCUACCGUGAGGUGAGGAAUACCGGCGAGAAAUCGCCGACAAGACCGCAUAGGCUCGAUGCAAGUCGAGCAAAGCUCUUUCGAGAGAGGGAGCGCCACACGAGGAGCCUGCGCCCGAUUAGCUAGCUGGUGGAGUAACGGUUCACCAGGGCGACGAUCGGUAGCUGGUCUGAGAGGACGAUCAGCCACACUGGGAUUGAGAACGGCCCAGACUCCUACGGGGGCAGCAGUGAGGAAUUUUCCGCAAUGGAGGCAACUCUGACGGAGCAACGCCGCGUGCAGGAUGAAGGUUUUCGGAUCGUAAACUGCUUUUCGUCGGGACGAGCAAGGACGGUACCGAGGAAGAAGCCCGGCUAACUACGUGCCAGCAGCCGCGGUAA
rnacentral:rRNA from 1 species